rnacentral:rRNA from 1 species
CCUACGGGUGGCAGCAGUGAGGAAUAUUGGUCAAUGGACGAGAGUCUGAACCAGCCAAGUAGCGUGAAGGAUGACUGCCCUAUGGGUUGUAAACUUCUUUUAUAUGGGAAUAAAAUGUUCCACGUGUGGGAUUUUGUAUGUACCAUAUGAAUAAGGAUCGGCUAACUCCGUUCCAGCAGCCGCGGUAAUACGGAGGAUCCGAGCGUUAUCCGGAUUUAUUGGGUUUAAAGGGAGCGUAGGUGGAUUGUUAAGUCAGUUGUGAAAGUUUGCGGCUCAACCGUAAAAGUGCAGUUGAAACUGACAGUCUUGAGUACAGGAGAGGUAGGCGGAAUGCGUGGUGUAGCGGUGAAAUGCUUAGAUAUCACGAAGAACUCCGAUGGCGAAGGCAGUUCACUGGACUGCAACUGACACUGAGGCUCGAAAGUGUGGGUAUCAAACAGGAUUAGAUACCCGUGUAGUC